rnacentral:rRNA from 1 species
AGCAUAUCAAUAAGCGGAGGAAAAGAAACUAACAAGGAUUCCCCCUAGUAACUGCGAGUGAAGCGGGAAAAGCUCAAAUUUAAAAUCUGGCAGCCUUGGCUGUCCGAGUUGUAAUCUGGAGAAGCAUUUUCGGUGCAGGACCGUGUACAAGUCUCUUGGAAUGGAGCAUCAUAGAGGGUGAGAAUCCCGUCUUUGACAUGGACUACCUGUGCUUUGUGAUAUGCUCUCAAAGAGUCGAGUUGUUUGGGAAUGCAGCUCAAAAUGGGUGGUAAAUUCCAUCUAAAGCUAAAUAUUGGCGAGAGACCGAUAGCGAACAAGUACCGUGAGGGAAAGAUGAAAAGCACUUUGGAAAGAGAGUUAAACAGUACGUGAAAUUGUUGAAAGGGAAACGCUUGAAGUCAGCCGCGUUGGCUAGGAUUCAGCUGGGCUUCUUAGCCUAGUGUACUUCCUUGUUAACGGGUCAACAUCAAUUUCAGUCAGUGGAUAAGGGUAAGGGGAAUGUGGCACCUCCGGGUGUGUUAUAGCCUCUUACCGUAUACACUUACUGGGAUUGAGGUCUGCAGCAACUUGUUGCUUAGGAUGUUGGCAUAAUGGCUUUAAGCGACCCGUCUUGAAACACGGACCAAGGAGUCUAACAUGCCCGCGAGUGUUAGGGUGGAAAACCCUUGCGCGUAAUGAAAGUGAAAGUUGGGACCUCUGUCAUGGGGGGCACCGACGCCCGGUCCUGAACUUCUGUGACGGUACUGCGGUAGAGCGUGUAUGUUGGGACCCGAAAGAUGGUGAACUAUGCCUGAAUAGGGUGAAGCCAGAGGAAACUCUGGUGGAGGCUCGUAGCGAUUCUGACGUGCAAAUCGAUCGUCAAAUUUGGGUAUAGGGGCGAAAGACUAAUCGAACCAUCUAGUAGCUGGGUCUGC